rnacentral:rRNA from 1 species
GUGGGGAAUCUUGCGCAAUGGGCGAAAGCCUGACGCAGCCAUGCCGCGUGAAUGAUGAAGGUCUUAGGAUUGUAAAAUUCUUUCACCGGGGACGAUAAUGACGGUACCCGGAGAAGAAGCCCCGGCUAACUUCGUGCCAGCAGCCGCGGUAAUACGAAGGGGGCUAGCGUUGCUCGGAAUUACUGGGCGUAAAGGGCGCGUAGGCGGACAGUUUAGUCAGAGGUGAAAGCCCAGGGCUCAACCUUGGAAUUGCCUUUGAUACUGGCUGUCUUGAGUACGGGAGAGGUGAGUGGAACUCCGAGUGUAGAGGUGAAAUUCGUAGAUAUUCGGAAGAACACCAGUGGCGAAGGCGACUCACUGGCCCGUUACUGACGCUGAGGCGCGAAAGCGUGGGGAGCAAACAGGAUUAGAUACCCUAGUAGUCC